rnacentral:rRNA from 1 species
AUACGGAGGGUGCAAGCGUUAUUCGGAAUCACUGGGCGUAAAGGACGCGUAGGCGGGUUGGCAAGUCAGAUGUGAAAUCCUACAGCUUAACUGUAGAACUGCAUUUGAAACUGCUAACCUAGAGUAUGGGAAGGGGAGAUGGAAUUAGUGGUGUAGGGGUAAAAUCCGUAGAUAUCACUAGGAAUACCGAAAGCGAAGGCGAUCUCCUGGAACAUAACUGACGCUAAGGCGUGAAAGCGUGGGGAGCAAACAGGAUUAGAAACCCUAGUAGUCC